GCCCAGGCCGGCUCCGUCGUGUUAGUGUCGGCCGGUUGGAGGGGGAGGGAGCGAAGAGGGGGUGAUGAUGAGAUGAACGGAAGGGGAGGGGCNNNNNNNNGCAGGGGGGCGCAGGGGUAACGGAAGAGGCAAGGGGGUGGGGCAUGGAGCAGCCGCCCGCCGCUGCGCUGCGCUGCGCUGCUCUCGCCGCCGCCGCGGCCGCCCCCGUCCUUACGCCUACAAGAGGUUCCGGACGAGCGAGCAGCAGAGGAGGGAGGGCGCGACGAGGAGGAGGCGGGGGCGCUAAUCCCCCGUCGGCAGCAACUAUGGCUCCCACUCGUCCUUUACCGAGCCCUUCGGCGAGUACAUGCCCUAGCCGUGCGACGACCAAUACGGGGACUCCUGCUAGGUGCCACACCCGGCCUACAAGCCGCGGCGCGCCAUGGAGACGUUGUACUGGUCGCAGAGGAGCAGCGAAGUUUAGCUCGAGCAUGGGACAGAAGUUCUAUUGAUACGCAUGUAGAACGUACUACACCUAUGACCUUGUCAACCUCAACAUCUGGGAAGACUCCGCCACGGAUAGUAUUUGCGUAACCUUUUCUCUUUGGUCUUGAACUGGAUGUAUAAUUUGUGGGUAGUAGUGAUACUAGUAUGACCACCGUUGAACCUUGACUUCCGCUUUAUACCACGUUUCCAUUAACCAAGACUCUUCCUAUUUCUAGCUUAAGGACCGUAACUGUAUUGAGAUUCGCUCCCACUGUGUACCUACAAACGCCCAGUAGUUCAAGAACACUACCUUUGAGGACCAGUAUGUAGUCCAGUACACUCGAAAAUAAAGGGACCUAGACCUCGUUAUAAGUGUCCACUAUGGAACAAAUCAGAUAGUACACCUUUCGAAAAACUCCCCUGAGGUCUUGUCUACAUGAGAAGUGAGGUUUUUUAACAUCGAGAAGGUCUACACUGCUUCCACAUGACACCUGUACUUAUAUGAGACUCGUUAAGUUCCAAACGGAACUCGUAUCUUGGUCCUUUACUUCUUGAAGUCCUUAUGCGACGUUCAUGUCGACUAGACGCGUUAUUCUUAUGUGGUUGCCACGGUUGUUGUUAACGCUCUCUCUUCGUCACGUUAGGAAAGAACUCCUGGAGUUCAGGUCUCUAUUUCUUUUCCGACAGGUAAGGUCUAGUAAAGCUACUACGUGCACAAGAACUUCAAUAGGCUGCCCGCUUCCUAUUAAAAACUGAUUGGUGUUUCCUUUAAUAGUAUUUUGCCACUGGGUUGGUAGAGAAGCUUUUCCUCUUCACCUGUUUCUUGGGCCGUUCUGGUGUUGUCUUCCUUACGUCCCUUCCUUUACACAUAUCGAGCUACAAGGUUUUUACGAAACCACUUUUAAACAGAUCGUAACAUACAUCGAACGUGUCUCACGAACAAUUAGACUAUCGUCGACCACUAAGAAAACAGCUGAUGUUUAUUUUACACAGGACAUUAGGAGAUAGGGCCCUCUUUUUUCGAUCAAUCGACAAACUAUCACAAGAAGUCAGGAACGAAGAAUUAAAAGAACGGUAAUAUUAACAAAAAUGG
rnacentral:rRNA from 1 species